GACGAACGCUGGCGGCGUGCUUAACACAUGCAAGUCGAACGAAAAGGCCCUGCUCUUGUGGGUCUCUCGAGUGGCGAACGCGUGAGUAAAACGCGAGUAACCCGCCCCUGACAUUGGGGUAACUUCAGGAGACACGGGCUCAUACCCGGUAGAAGCUCCUGCUGCACGGGGGGGGUUGGAGAGUUACGGCGGUGGGGGAUGGUCUCGCGGGUUAUCAGCUUGUUGGUGGAGUAGUGGCGUACCAAGCCUUCGACGGGUAGCCGGCCUGGGAGGUUGACCGGCCACAAUGGGACUGAGAUACGGCCCAGUCUCCUACGGGCGGCAGCGGGGGAGAAUAUUGCACAGUGGGCGGAAGCCAGAUACAGCGACGCCGCGUGCGGGAAGCUGGCCUUCGAGUUGUAAACCGCUUUCGCCUUUGACAAGCCGUGCGUGACGGUAAUGAGUCAGGAAGCACCGGCUAACUACGUG
rnacentral:rRNA from 1 species